AUUGAACGCUGGCGGCAUGCUUUACACAUGCAAGUCGAACGGCAGCGCGCUCUUCUGCCUGGCUGCUAGUGGCGCACGGGUGAGUAAUGCAUCGGAAUGUGCCCCGUAUUGCGGUGUAGCCCGGCGAAAGCCGUGUUGAUACUGCCUACUACCUGCGCCUGCUACCUGGUGACCGAAAGGCCUCUCCCUCUUUUAGCGGCCGAUGUCGGAUUUGCUAGUUGGUGGGGUAAGGGCUUACCAAGGCGGCGAUCGGUAGCUGGACUGCGAGGACGACAAGCCACACGGGGACUGAGACACGGACAAGACGACUAAGGGAGGCAGCAGUGGGGAAUGUUGGACAAUGGGGGGAAACCUGAUACAGCCAGGCCGCGUGCGGGAAGAAGGCCUUGGGGUUGUAAACAGGGUUUGUUCGGGAAGAAAUCCUCUGGGCUAAUACCAAGGGGGGAUGACGGUAACGGAAGAAUAAGCACCGGCUAACUACGUG
rnacentral:rRNA from 1 species